UGCAAGUCGAGCGGCAGCGGGAAGUAGCUUGCUACUUUGCCGGCGAGCGGCGGACGGGUGAGUAAUGUCUGGGAAACUGCCUGAUGGAGGGGGAUAACUACUGGAAACGGUAGCUAAUACCGCAUGACCUCGAAAGAGCAAAGUGGGGGAUCUUCGGACCUCACGCCAUCGGAUGUGCCCAGAUGGGAUUAGCUAGUAGGUGAGGUAAUGGCUCACCUAGGCGACGAUCCCUAGCUGGUCUGAGAGGAUGACCAGCCACACUGGAACUGAGACACGGUCCAGACUCCUACGGGAGGCAGCAGUGGGGAAUAUUGCACAAUGGGCGCAAGCCUGAUGCAGCCAUGCCGCGUGUGUGAAGAAGGCCUUAGGGUUGUAAAGCACUUUCAGCGAGGAGGAAGGCAUCAUACUUAAUACGUGUGGUGAUUGACGUUACUCGCAGAAGAAGCACCGGCUAACUCCGUGCCAGCAG
rnacentral:rRNA from 1 species